rnacentral:rRNA from 1 species
CCUACGGGUGGCAGCAGUGAGGAAUAUUGGUCAAUGGCCGCAGGGCUGAACCAGCCAAGCCGCGUGCGGGAUGACGGUCCUAUGGAUUGUAAACCUCUUUUGUCAGGGAGCAAAGGGCGCCACGUGUGGCGUUUUGCGAGUACCUGACGAAAAAGCAUCGGCUAACUCCGUGCCAGCCGCCGCGGUAAUACGGGGGAUGCGAGCGUUAUCCGGUUUUAUUGGGUUUAAAGGGUGCGUAGGCGGUGUGUCAAGUUAGCGGUAAAAUUUCGGGGCUCAACCCCGUCGUGCCUUUGAAACUGGCGAUCUAGAGUGAGCGAGAGGUAUGCGGAACGCGUGGUGUAGCGGUGAAAUGCAUAGAUAGCACGCAGAACACCGAUUGCGAAGGCAGCAUACCGGCGCUCAACUGACGCUGAGGCACGAAAGCGUGGGUAUCGAACAGGAUUAGAUACCCCGGUAGUC